rnacentral:lncRNA from 1 species
UGAGAAUCUUGGUGAUUUGAUGUCUUUUAUUAUUUUUGGGAAAUUCUUAGUUAUUAUGUCUUUAAAUAUUUCUACUGUCCUGUUUCACCCUCAUCUCCUUUUGUGACUCCGAUUAGCAUGUUGGAUCAUUUGGAUGCUCUGUUCUGAUUCCUCCUGUCCACUCUUUUUCUCUGGGUUUGGAUUACAGAUGCUCCUCAACUUACAAUGGGGUUAUUUCCUGAUAAAACAAAAGUAGGUUGAAAUUAAGUCAGAAAUGCAUUUAAUAUACCUGACCUACCAACAUCAUAGUUUAGCCCAGCCUCAUCUAAACAUGCUCAGAACACUUGCGUUAGCCUACAGUUGGGCAAAAUCAUCUAACACGGGGGUCCCCAACCCCCAGGUCACAGACUGGUACCAGUCCGUGGCCUGUUAGGAACUGGGCUGCACAGCAGGAGGUGAGCAGCAGGCAGGCGAGCACUACCACCUGAGCCCUGGCUCCUGUCCAAUCAGUGGCAGGCAUCCUUAGAUUCUUAUAGGAGCGUGAACCCUAUUGUGAACUGCACAUGUGAGGGAUCUAGGUUGUGCGCUCCUCGUGAGAAUCUAAUGCCAGAGAAUAGUUUCAUCCUGAAACUAUCCCCUCCAGCCCCCACAGUCUGUGGAAAAUUGUCUUCCAUGAAACUGGC